UACGGGGGGUGCGAGCGUUGUCCGGAAUCACUGGGCGUAAAGGGCGCGUAGGUGGCCUGAUAAGGGUGUGGUGAAAGUCCGGGGCUCAACCCCGGAUCGGCCGUGCCGACUGUCAGGCUAGAGUACUGUAGGGGCAGGCGGAAUUCCGGGUGUAGCGGUGGAAUGCGUAGAGAUGCGGAGGAAGAGCGGUGGCGAAGGCGGCCUGCUGGGCAGUUACUGACACUGAGGCGCAACAGCGUGGGGAGCAAACAGG
rnacentral:rRNA from 1 species